AACUGGCACAUAUUGACAUUGUUCUCACAACCCAUUAACUUACAGCCGGAAAGUGAAAAGGCCAAGAGACACGUAAAACCUCUGUGUGAGUCCGUCUGUGCAUGUAUGUAAGCAACUUCUAGGUUUUAGUGCUUUGGAAGUUUCUAGCUUCAGCCCAGAUUAAAGAAGUUGCCUUCCUCUGAAUCAUGGAAAAAUACACUUUCUGCAGCAAAACAGUGAUAAAAAGGGAGAGGUGCCUGCUCCAAACGAGAAGACCUGGGUCACAGCAGUAACCCUUGCUGUUGAGAUGGGAUCCUUAGCAGAUAAGGAUCCAGCUUGGAUCACACCCAGCUGCACAGCCCUGUCUCAGAGAAGUGUGAGCACUAAGAGGGUGCGAAGGCUGAGGAAGAAGAAAACAGGAGCUACUGGUCUUGGGUUUAGAUUCUAAAAGUUAAAGAGCAACUCAGUGAGGUAGCUUUUAAUUUGGACCCACAGUCUGUUCAUUUAAAUGUGCAGCUCCAGCACUUUCAGUCGUACCUGGAGCGGCCUGGCCAUUCGGAGAAGCUGUACCCCACCAGUUUGGGCAAACACAGUGUUGAUUGAUAUGGUGUGUCACUAAACACAGUUCCAGUGAUGGCUGUGACUCAGAUGUAUUGCCUUCAGUUGCACACUUACACUCUCAAGGCAUGACUUCUGUAACUAAAAUGUGACCGAUGGGAGUACUUCUCAGAAAGUGUGCCCCUGGGCCCUCGCACAGACAUGGCAGGGAGCAGGGAGCAGGGAGGUAUUUAGUGCUAAAGCCCUGCUAAAAUUCUCAGAAGUGACUUUCCACUGGGUGAUCAUUUCAGUGGCAAUGCUUUUCUUCAGGACCUGUGGCAUUGUCCUACAUCCUGCAUUAUGCAAUGAUUGUUGUAGGUAAUUACUUGUGGUAGUUAUUCUUUUUAGUGUAAGUUGUGCACACUUUCUCAAGCAAGCAACAUGGUUUGCCUUUUAUAUUUGUAUUAUUGGGCUCUCUACAUAAUCUGUUUCAAAAUUCUAUUACAUGAACUUGCUUUUUCCUUUCCUGUCACCAGUGAGAGUC
ensembl:lncRNA